rnacentral:rRNA from 1 species
GACGUAGGGCGCGAGCGUUGUCCGGAUUUAUUGGGCGUAAAGAGCUCGUAGGCGGCUUGUCGCGUCGUCCGUGAAAACCUGCGGCUCAACUGCAGGCUGGCGGUCGAUACGGGCAGGCUGGAGUUCGGUAGGGGAGACUGGAAUUCCUGGUGUAGCGGUGAAAUGCGUAGAGAUCCGGAGGAACCCCAGAGGCGAAGGCGGCGCCCUGGCUCGCAACUGACGCUCAGACACGACAGCAUGGGGAGCGAACGGG